CUGUGUUCGUUCCAGCAUUUUGUCUGAUUAUUUAAAAAACUAAAAAUUCGAUCUCUGGUCUUGCAGCGAUAUUGCCUAAACUGGUAUUAACUAUUCCUGGUAAAUCGCGGAGAAGAGUGGAAUGAACAAAAAAGUCAGACCGAGACUAGAACCUCCCGCAGCGUAACAAGGAAAUCUUGGAACAAAGAGACGCCGAGUGGCUCGUGUUGUCCGGUUUGGAUAUCAGCGGCAAAGCGAACGUUGUGUGUACUAUUGCAAAAUAUAUAGUGGAUCUCCACGGUUAGGAUACAGACCACAACGCUUUGGACGUAUCUUUAAAAAAGAGAAAAAUCAGAGACUUUUUGGAUUUGUCUGGGGACAUUUUAAACAUUUUGUGGCAAAUUGGAUUUAAAACAUUUCGGAUACUGGAUACCUAGUUUGAUUUGUCCACAGAGCUUGUUUAAGACGUUUUCACCUCAUUUUAGGGUUUAUUUUUAAUUAAAGGCUUCUUAAAACAUGUGUGAAAAUGUGUUUAUUAUACAAUGAGUCUUAUAUUGUCUGCUCUGACAAAAAUAAAUUAUUAUUUUAGGUCAAUUGACUGCGUGUGUUUUAUGUCAAGCGUAUGCUGUUAUGUUUAAUGACGGCUCGUGUGUGACAGCUCGUGUUUUGGCAUUCGAUGUCAGCUCUCACCCUUCCUCCCUACUGUCUCACAAGCCAUGCAUUCUUUCACAGGGGUGCGUGUUGUAAAGCGAGUAAAGAUUUCUAAAACCCAAUGUGGGUAAAAUAAUUCCCCAUUACGGGGGUCAAAAAAGUAAAUGUUUAUUUUAGAUUUAGACAAAUCAUGAACAAUGCUAUGAUUAAAACGUUUGUUUGUAACAUCACAAGUUAUUUAAUUAAAUAUUCCGUAUACGGGUAUAGUUUAAGCAAUGACCUGAGCCAUUACUACAAUCUUUAGACGAUAGUCUAAACUAAAUAAAUUUUUAAACGGUUCAGGAAUUCCGUGAAUCUUUUCAUAACCUACUCUAUAGUUUCACGCGUAUUAAAGAUCCGGCGGUGCCUGACAAAGCGCCGGGUGAGUGUUCAUAUAUGCGGUUUUAAAAUAACCUUAAUAAAUGUAAUUCUGUCCACUAUGGCAAAAUAGUGGGUUUAUUUUAGAUUUAGGGGAUUCUUUAACCAAGGCUCUGAUUAAGACAUGCACCGAUGGUGACAGAGAACUUAUAUCUGACGUUAAUAAACUUUUUAAAAUGUUUUUAAGACGUCUUCAACUCAUUUUAGGGGUUUAUUUUUAAUUAAACGCUUCUUAAAACAUGUGUGAAUAUGUGUAUAUUAUACAAAGAGUCUUAUAUUGUCUGCUCUGACAAAAAUAAAGUAUUAUUUUAGAUUUAGGUCAAUUGACUGCGUGU